UUUGACCCUCUAAUGCCAUUUUAAAAGUUCUUCUAGGUCAUCAUAAGUUCUGUUAAUCGCCUUUUCUUUGCUUUGUCUUGCUGCUUCAGUUAAUAUUAAUAUGACAAAAGUAUAACUACUUGGAAAAAAAAAUGUCACAAGCAAACAGCCAAAGAUACUAUAAUUUUGACGCAUUGGCAUCAACAGUCUAAGGAGUAACUGCUCUCUAAGCACAUAUAUAUCCAGAUGUCAAACACCUUUUGCUCAUAUUUAUAUUGAUUACAUGAAAUUUAUGGUUUAAAAAAAUUAAGAACAAUAUCUAUCAUGAAGUCACUAAAAUAAUUUGCAUACAAGAACUCACAUCAACAAUGAACAAAAGAUAAGUAAAUCUUCGUAGGAAUUGAAACUAAUGACAUUAUUUACAUGACAAAGGUUGGUAGCUUAAAAUGAUUGUAGGUGUGUCCAGCUUGACCUUUAAAAAUUCUAGCUCCUACUUCUGAUCUCACUAAAAAAAAUUCAGGCAUGGGGUUGUAAUAGAAGAAAUGUAAAAAUGCUUGGCAGCUGCUAUUUGAUUGUUUCAACUUUGAAAUAUCUACAGUUUGUUUGUAGUUUAUUAUUGUGCUUGGAAGAUGUUAGGUUAUCGCAUUGGUUUUUUGUUCUGUUAUGUACAAUGUCUUUAGUUAUGGAAAUGCUUGCAUAUGACUUGUGAUUUAGUGAAAUUUUUUUGGAUGCUACUUCUAAAUGUAGUAUCGCAACUAUAAUUUGUUGACAUUAACUUUCUGGUGAAAACUCUGCUUGAGGUGAACAAAGUUGAAUGGUAUUAAGCAUUUCCUUAAAAGUAUGCAUACAUAGCGUCACUACUUACUGAUUACCGGAACUGCAAUGUUUUUUAAACCAGUAGAUGAUUUAUAGAACCUGUUUUUCACAAGAUAGAUGGGCAUAUAAACUUGUGCUUGGCUUAAAGAGCAAGAGGGGUUCUAGCUCUGAAUAUGAGAUAGAACCUUUGAGUAAUGUGGUAGUUGGAUCUCUCACUUUGUUUUAGCUCAGCUUGAGUAGUAAGUUGUCUGCCCUGUCUAAUAUGACUCAGCAAAUGCUCACUUACAAAUACCCCUUGUGAUAGCCGUAGGGAUUUAUCAACAUGGAUGCUUAGAACUUGCUCUGAUUUUGACCCUCUAAUGCCAUUUUAAAAGUUCUUCUAGGUCAUCAUAAGUUCUGUUAAUCGCCUUUUCUUUGCUUUGUCUUGCUGCUUCAGUUUUCUUUGUUAUUAUUUUAGUUGCUGAAUUGAAACUAUAGUUAUGCAAUAAUAACUUUAUGUCUAGAUCAUUAACAACUGAAACAAUUUGCACGUAUAUGAUAAAUCUUCUUUAGUUUCUCUCCUCACGUGUUAAUAUGGCAAUCCGACAAUAAUCCAAAUCCAGUGGUUGAUGUGUAAUUAGUGAUGGUUAAACAGAAAAGUCUGUUUGGGCAGAGCUCUGCAGCAGAUUCAUAGCAGCUUCAGUUGAAGAGCUUUUGAGGUUUAUAUGGCCUGAAUAAUAAGUGAGGAUUACUCCCGUGUCUGGUCUGUAAUUCGAUCCAUAGCAGAUUUGACCAGUAAAUUAUUAUGUAUGUUCAAGUAAAUUCAAUCUAUUCCCAAAAGGGAUAAUUGAUAGAGGUUGGGGUGCAUGGUGUGAGAUUUAGAGUGUUACUGCUCUCUAUUCUUUGAAUUUUCUAUUGGACUCUUCAAUUAUCAAGUGCCUCAAGAUUGCUUUAUCCUUAUACAAAAGUAAUGAUGAUCAAGCUAAUGGUAUCUUUCUGAUUGCGAUACAGAGGAAUGAACGAAAGCAAAGAUACUGUGAGUUCACUACAGAACACUCAAAGGAAUGUCGACCAACAAAAUGCUGACAAAAAUUCGCUGCGUCAUGCUAGAUAUUCACAAAUGUCGCCCGAGAGAAAAUAAUUAUUUUUUACCCAACUGAGAGAGAAAAGAGCCGAAUUGAAAAAGCGAAAACUCCUUCAUGAUUCAAGUACCACAGUCUCAUCUCAGGAAUUUGAUAGAAGGGCUCCAAAAAGAAGAGACACUUAAAGGAAUGUCGACCAACAAAAUGCUGAUAGAAAUUUGCAGCAUCGUGCUAGAUAUGCACAAAUAUCGCCGGAGAGAAAACAAUUAUUUUUGUCCCAACUAAGAGAUAAAAGAGCUGAAUUGAAAAAGCGAAAACUCCUUUAUGAUUCAAGUAGUACAGUCUCAUCUCUGGAAUUCAAUAGCCCGCCUCCAAAAAGAAGAGCUCUUCCAACUAUCAGUCAUUCAUUGUCUCUCGAACAAGUCGCGCUUCUUCAGCUACAAAUGUACAACGAGAUGAAAGAGGUGAAUCGAAAAAGCGACAACUCCUUCAUCCUUCAAGUACUAUAGUCUCACCUCUUGAAGUUGAUAGUUGCCCUCCAAAAAGAUGUGGUCUUACAAUUAUUAAUCCUUUAUCAUCUCCUGAAGAAGGUUAGCAAACCGCAUUGUUAUCUUCCUUUUCUGAAAUGUUAAUUGAUCUACCGUAAUUGAAGUUACUUUUC